CGAUGUCGGCUCAUCGCAUCCUGGGGCUGGAGCAGGUCCCAAGGGUUCGGCUGUUCGCCGAUUAAAGCGGUACGUGAGCUGGGUUUAAAACGUCGUGAGACAGUUUGGUCCCUAUCUACCGUGGGCGCAGGAGUUUUGAGGGGAUCUGUCCCUAGUACGAGAGGACCGGGAUGGACGAACCUCUGGUGUACCAGUUGUCGUGCCAACGGCAUCGCUGGGUAGCUAUGUUCGGAAGGGAUAACCGCUGAAAGCAUCUAAGCGGGAAACCCACCCCAAGAUGAGAGCUCCCCUCUGGAGCGAUCCAGGCUGAAGGCCCCUCGUAGACCACGAGGUUGAUAGGUCGGGUGUGUAAGCGCAGCAAUGCGUUGAGCUAACCGAUCCUAAUGGGCCGUGCGGCUUGACCAUG
rnacentral:rRNA from 1 species